UACAGAGGGUGCGAGCGUUAAUCGGAGUUACUGGGCGUAAAGCGCGUGUAGGCGGUCGUGCAAGUCGGGUGUGAAAGCCCUGGGCUCAACCCAGGAAGUGCAUUCGAUACUGCGCGACUGGAGUCCCGGAGAGGAUGGUGGAACUCUCGGUGUAGAGGUGAAAUUCGUAGAUAUCGAGAAGAACACCGGUGGCGAAGGCGGCCAACUGGACCAUUACUGACGCUGAGGCGCGAAAGCGUGGGGAGCAAACAGG
rnacentral:rRNA from 1 species